rnacentral:ncRNA from 1 species
UAUAGUUUUAAUAAUUUAUUUAAAGUUUAUUUUACAUAUAAAUUUUAGUAUUAAUUUUACUUUAUUUUAAUAAUAAUUUAAUUGAUUUGUAGUAAUUAAUAUUAAACAAUUUAAGUAAUUAAGAUUUAGUAAUAUUUAAUAUUAAUAACAAAUUUUGUGCCAGCAGUUGCGGUUAAACAAAAGUUAAAUUUAAAUUUUAUUAGUUAUUAAUAAAUAAUUAAAUUUUAAAAAAUAAUUUAUUUUAUUUUUAAUAAAAAUAAUAUAAAUUUUAAAUUAUUAAGUGAAAUUUUAAUUUAAUUAAAUAUUAUUGUUAGUUUAUGAUUUAAAAAAUUUUAUAAAAAACUAGGAUUAGAUACCCUAUUAUUAAAAUUUAAAUUAAUAAUACUAAAAUAGUAAAUAAUUAUUUAUUGAAACUUAAAUAAUUUGGCGGUAUUUUAGUUCAUUUAGAGGAAUCUGUUUAAUAAUUGAUAAUCCACGAAUAAAUUUACUUAAUUUUUUAUUUUGUAUAUCGUUGUUAAAAAAAUAUUUUUUAAUAAUAAUAAUAUUUAAAAAUUUUAAUUAAAAAUUAAAUCAGAUCAAGAUGCAGAUUAUAAUUAAGAAUAUAAUGGAUUACAAUAAAUUUAUUUAUAUGAAUAUUAAUUUGUAAAAUUUAAUUGAAGGUGGAUUUAAAUGUAAUUUUAUUUAGUUUAAUAAAAUGAUUGAAAAUUAAGAUAUGUACAUAUUGCCCGUCGCUUUCAUAUGGAUAAAAGUUGGAAUAAGUCGUAACAAAGUAGAGGUACUGGAAAGUGUUUCUAGAAAGAA